UUUCCACUACAGUUCUCAUACAAAUUCCUUUGAAUUUUCCUCUCCUCUUUACCCGUUUGGCUUAUAUAUAUGAACUAAGAAAGCUUGUUUCCUCAAACCACUGCUAUACUUUCUUCAAACUCUCUUUUGCUCUAUCUCUCUCAUGGCUUCUUCUUCUCCUCCUUCUCCUUGUGCUUAUAUUAAGAGAUACGAUGUCUUUCCAAGCUUCAACGGGCCAGAUGUUCGUAAAGGACUCCUCAGUCAUUUACACGAUCACUUUUUAAGGAAGGAAAUCAAAAUGUACAAGGAUGAUAAGAUGGAGAGAUGCCAACGAUCAAACGUGAACUCGUGAAAGCGAUUAGAGAAUCGAGGGUCUUGAUGGUUUUGCUCUCGAAAAACUACGCUUCUUCGAGCUGGUGUUUGGACGAACUGGUGGAAAUCUUGAAGUGCAGAAAAGAUAAGGAACAGAUUGUGAUGCCUAUUUUCUACGACCUUGAUCCGUUCCAUGUACGCACACAGAGCGGUGACUUCGGAAGCGCGUUCGAGAAAACCUGCGAAAACCAAACAGAGGAAGUGAAGCAGAGAUGGGUCGAAGCUUUGAAAUGUGUAACGACCAUAGCUGGAGAACAUUCUCGUAACUGGUUUGUUUUAACCUGCAUAACUUCUUUCGUGAUUCAACCAUAGCUGGAGUUUCUAUAAUUUAUUAAGAUUUUGUUUUUUUUUUCAGGACUGAUGAUGCUGAGAUGGUCCAAAAGCUUUGCACAGAAGUCUCGAACAAACUGAAAGUGGAAGAGUCUAAGGAAGAAUUUAGGAAGUACGAUGUAGACAAUAAUGGUUUCAUAACUGCAGCAGAGCUUCCACGAUGUGUGUUGAUAAAAGAUGGAGAAGAAUCUACUGAUAAGCAAGUUCGUAGUAUCAUCCGAGUAGUUGAUAUUGAUGGCGAUGGUCAGAUCAACUUUGAUGAAUUUGUCGAACUCAUGGCUCUUAGGUAAGGGAUUCUUGAAAGCCUUAACCUCAAAGAAACAAAAAGAAAAACGAUUUAUGAUGUCUUACAGUGAAAUCUUAUCAUAUGAUUUAGAACGCUUUUGUCUCUCUUAAUCAAUGAUUCAAUAGUGGAGUUUCUAUAGUCUAAUAACAUUCUGUUUUUUUUUUUUUUUUCUUAGGAUGACUGAUAAGAAGCUUUACACGGACCAAGUGAAAGCGGAAAUGAUGAAGGAAGGCUUUAGGGAAUGCGAUGUAGACCAGAAUGGUUACAUAACUGCACCAGAGCUUCGAUAUGUGCUGACAAAAGAUGGGGAGGAAUUUACCGAUAAGCAAGUUCGUAAGAUCAUCCGAAAAGCUGAUGUUAAUGGCGGUGAUCAGCUCAACUGUGAUGAAUUCUUCAAAUUCAUGAAUCUCAUGAUGGAUGCGUAAGGGAUUCUUAAGCCUUAACCUCAUGGAUAAAAAAAAAGGAUUUAUGAAUUAUGAUGUCUUACAGUGAAAAUAUUUUAACGCCUUUUUGUUUCUUAAUCUAAUCUAUAAGAUUCUGUUUUUUUUUUCUUUUGUUAGAAAGAGGAUGACUGAUGAAAGAGCUGCGAGAGUCGAAAAGAUUGCCUCAUAUGUAUCGAACAAACUGGAUAAAUUCGCCAUAUAGAUUCAUGAUAAAAGCCUUCUCCUGAAGAAGAAAAGAAAAACGAUUUAUGAAUGUCUUACAGUGUGAAUUUUCAUCAUGAUAUGAUCCUGGUUGUCUUCUUUAGGACAUGUUUUUUUUACUUCUUUCCACCUUCGAUUUGGUUGCUUUGUUAAUCUCUUUAAUUAGUGUUAUGUCAAGUAUGAACUCAUGUUUUGCUCCUCCUAGUGACAAUUGAUUUUAUCUCUUUUUUUGUGUUUCCUAUUUAGAUAUGAGAGAUUGUAUUGGGAUAUAACAUAUAUCAUCUCGUUUUUUUUUUCUUUUUUUCUUUUUGUAAAGAAUAUCACUUGAUCUAUGUACCCAAGUAUAUUUAAGAAAUUGGAAAAAUAAGGAUAUUUUAUAAGAAAAUCAUUAAAUUGUAUAAAGAAUAUAAAGUGCUAUUAAAAAUGUGAUUUAAAAAAAGAAAAGUACGCAUGAUCCUACUAUACUUAUAUUCCUAGCUCUUGAGAAAUGAGUUAUUUGAGUUUGGAGCCACACGUUCAGGGGACGGUACUCGGCUCUUUGAAAGAGUAUUAAGCUUGAAUGUAGAUUGCAUGAGCCACAGAACCUUAAGUGUCGGAGGCUUAUCCGCUUAUGUGAAUCAAGUUCAUGUCCACACAAUGACGUCAUACGGUCAAAUCUGUCCCAUGUUCUUGGACCAGUUGCAUACAAUUUAAUUAUCCUCUUGUCAAUAUUAGAUUAGAGAUACAACAGUUUUGUCCUCCAUAGAGAGAGCUUCUUCAUCAUCGACGAAAAGAAGAACAAAAGCCCAUACAUAUCCCAGUUGAAAACGAGAAGAAAGCCCACACAGAAAAAAUACGUGAUUACCUAACUGCAAAAGACAAAGGUAUGUGACCACCUAGGUAACUGCAGAAGACAAUUAAAGGUUGUUGAGUUGAGCCGCCAAAACAGAAUACUCUCAGUGCAUAAACAGAAGAAGAAGGUACGUACGUGUUCUGUUUCGUAUCAAGAUUAAAAAAAAAAAUAGACCAAUGAGUUCACAAAGACUAUGUGUCAGAGUGUGAUUAGUAGAUUUAGAUCUAAGCUUUAAAAGUGAAAAGCAACUAGCAUUUAGCAACAAAAAUCAAAGCAACUAGCUAAUAGAUAACUGAGAGUGGCAAUGGAUGGUGAUAUAUACUUUCUCAUCAACCUCUCAUUUACACUAUUAUUCAUUGAAUAAGAUUAAUAAAAUAUGAUCUUUUAAUUUAAUAGUUUGGACUUUUUUAUAUAUACGUUGCAUUAAUUAUCAAAAAUUUGUUACUAAUAUAUCUUAAAUGUAAUUUUAUAUAUUAUCUAUGUUUUUUAACAUUUUAAGUGUUUUUUAUAAUUUUAAAUUCGUGUAAUUUUAUGCUUAAUUGUGUUAUUUAAAAACAUAAUAUUUUGUCAUUAUUAAUAUUUGCGAUUGUAUUAAUUUUACUAUUAUAGUUAAUAUAAAUAAAUAUACUAAAUUAAGAUGUAAUCUAAGAUGGAAUUAAUAUAAUUAAAUAUAUUUAAGAUGUAAUUUAAUAUAUUUUAUAAAAUAAAAACAAAAUAUUUUUAACUUUAAGAUAAUAUUUAGAGACAUUACACUUAAAUGCAUUUUUAAACACAUAUUACAAUAAAAUACACUUCUAGCUAUUAUGAUAUAUUUUUUUUUUUAAUAUUUCAUACCAAAAUAAUCUAAAAUUGUCUCAUGUGUUCACGUAACGUUGGGUGCGAACUAGCAUAGAUUAAACCCAGAUUUUUAAAACAGUAAUUUUUUCUCAUCUAUUUUUUUGUAUUUUUUAAUAUUGUGAAAGAUAAAUAAAAAACAGUUUUUUUUGUUAUAAUGAAUUAUAAUUUUAUUUUCUCAUAUUUUAAGACUUAUUAUACUAUAGUUUAUUUAUCAAACAAGAAAUUUUUCGAAAAUCAUUUAUAUAAAAUUCAAAAAAAAAAAAAAUCACAAGUGUAGUUAGAUAUCCAUUCACAAAUAAAAUGUGGAUGAUAUAUGAUGGACAUAAAACAGGGACAUGAUGGCAUGAAUUAAUUUUAAUUGAUAUAUUCGACGUGGAUAUACAUUUUAUUGUCCACAAUGUGGACAUAAUUGCGUGGAUAUGUUUUUAUUAAUAUAUUCGACUUGGAUAUACAUUUUACAUUGUCCAUAAUAGGACAUGACCAUGUGAAUUAUUUUGAUGUUAAAUUUGAAAAGAAAAAAUAUUAUAAUAAUUAAAAGUGUUUUUUGUAAGAAUAAGUAGAAAAAUAUAUUUUUGAGUGUAAAUCACUCUAAUAUUUAACUUAAAUUUUCAAUAUUAAUUACACUGAAAUUAAAAUCUGUAAAAAAUUAAUAAUAUUAUAUAGAUGAGAUAUUUUGGUGGGUACUUUAUCAAUAAAGGAAAAAAUUUAUUAUAGGGAUCUCAAAAAAAAAAAUGAUACUUUAUCAUUGUACACAGAUUAAGAAAAUCUUUAAUUUAUUUUUUUUCUAUACUAAAACUUUAAUUUUUAUCAUUUUCAAUAUAAUGCAACUAAUAUAAAAAAUGAUAUGCAGAAUAUAAAAAUCUGUAAAACACCAUUUAGAUAAGAACGGAUGAAAUAUUAUAUUUAUGAGAUAUCCUUAAGGUAUCUUAAUAGAAAUGCUUUUACAAAUAAAAACAAGCCAGUGGUCAAAUGUCUUUGGAAAUGUCUCUGUUCUUUUACGCCAAAAAAAAAUGUCUCUUAACUUUCAGUGUUUUGUUUCAUGAGAAACUAGAUUCUAACCCCGUGCAUCCGCACGAGAAUUUUUUGUUUUUUAUUCUAAUAUAAAUUGUAAUUAUUUUUUUUGUUUAGAUAUAAUUUGUUUUUGUUAUUUAUUUUUUUUUAAAUCAAGAAAAUUUUUAGCAUGUUUUAAUUUUAAAUAAUAUAGAAUUGUAUAUCAGUAGAAUAAAUAUAUAAGUUAAUUACGUAUACAUCGAUCUAAUGUUAAUUAUAAAUUUUAUUAUUAUGUAAAUUUUGAUUUACAUAUAAACAAUCUAUGUAUAUAUCUAUGAAUUUGCUAAUUGUCUGUUUAGUUGCCUUAAAAUCAUUUUUUUAAUAUUUUACAUGUUUUGACAAACUAACCAGUAUAGAACUCUAAUUAUAAAUGCAUAACCCUAAUUUGCUCUAUCAUAUUAUUGUAGAAUAGAAAUAUUAAUUAAUAUUGAAGUUUUGAUAGUUUAGAUUGAUUGAUUAUGAUAAAAUAUAAUAAGAUAUUCAUUUACCAUUAUAUCUAUAUAUUGGCUAACCUGUUAGUUUAAUUGCCUCAAAUCAUCUUAAUAUCUUAUAUAUUUUAAUAAACUAAUUUAUAGACCAUAAGUAUAAAUAUAUAACCCUAAUCAGCUAUAUUAUAUUAUAAAUUUGAUAUUUUAGACCGAUUGAUUAUGAUAAAAUACAAUAAGAUAUUCGUUUAUUAUGCGCUAUUAUGAGAAUAUCAUUUAAAUUUAAAAUUUAAAUUAAAUCUAACAUGUAUUUAAGUAAUUCUAAAGUAUUAAAAUUAUUAUCUAAAUUUUUAUAAUAAAAUUUAAUUAUAAUUUUUUCAUUUUUUGAAUUUUAAAUUAAAUUUGAAUAAUUAUAAAUUUUGAAUAAUUUCAAAUUUAAACAAAUAUGACAUAUAUUUAAGGAAAUCUAAAACUAUUUAAAUAUAUAACUAAUUUUCGGAAAUAAAUAUAAAUAUAAAAUAAAAUAUUUUUAAAAAAAAUUUGGGAGUGUUUGGAAGCAGAUACUAAAAAUGCUUCUGUUUUAAUAUAAUAGAUUGCACAAACUAGUAACCAAUAAAUUGAAAAUUAGUUCUCUUUCCUCAGCACUAUUCAUCGCGUACUAUUUAUUGCCAAAAAUCAAUUUUACCCUUCUUUUUUCAAUCAAAUUACAUCUUUAGUUUUUAUCUCUUCAACCAUUGUCCAUGAAAGAAAAAUGCAAAGAAUAAGAGAAAAAAAUAGAACAAGAAAAGAAGAAAGAAGAGAACAAAGAAGAUGGAUGAAAUUGAAGAUAGAAAUGGAGAUGGAGGUUAGUUAUAGUGCAACGAUGGUCUUAAUGAUGGUGGUGACGUCACCACUGACGUCACGAUAUGUUAUCGAUAACAUUAUUAGCAAUUAGCAAACGAGUUAUCGAUAUAAUUUUGAAUAAAUCUUGUUAUGAUAACUAAGUUAGCACACAUACUAUUCUGAUUUGUAUAUGUUAACAUACAAAAAGUAUCAGAUAUUAUUGUUAAUAUGUUAUAAAUACUAGAUAUUAGUGUUAAACACAUUAAUAUUUAUAUAAUAUGUUAUUAUAAUUAUUAUCAUGUUAACUAAUUAUAUAACAUUAUAUUAAUAUUAGCAUGUUAACAUUUUAUAUUAGACGUUAACAGAAUAAACGUUAUCAUGUUAAUUAUUGUUAGCAUGUUAACAAGAAGAUUUCUGGUAAUGAAUAGUGUCAUCGGACGUUUAUGGACAAUGUUACCCGUUUGUGGAUGAACAGUAUUUCCAAUAUAAUCUAUCAGAAAAAAAAAAAUUAAAUCAUUGGCAAUUUUAUAAAUAAACAAAAUAAGAAGGAUAGAAUUGGAUAAAACAAUAUAUUCUUUUUGCUAGUUACCUAAUUAUCAAUUUAUCGAUGCUAUAAACUUAAUUUUUUUUAUGAACCAUUGAUAUACAAUAAAUUCACUCUUGCUUCAAUAUAACAUAAAGAAGGGACAUGUUUCUUUCUUCAACCUUUAUUUUACUCUCUAGCCUAAGCCAGUGGUCCUCUCCUUGGCGGCUAUAAAAAAACAAACUUUUAAGAGCCGCCAACGACUUCAUACAAAGACCUUUGAAACAAACAAGCCAGUAGUUUCCAGUACAGUUCUCAUACAAAUUCCUCUGAAUUUUACUCUCCUCUUUAAGCAUUUCGCUUCUAUAUAUACACAAGGAAGCUUGUUUCCUCAACCACUGCUAUACUUUCUUUAAACGCUCUCUUUUGCUGGAUUUCUCUCAUGGCUUCUUCUUCUUCUUCUUCUUCUUCUUCUCAUUUUUCGUCUGAGGUUAAGAGUCUCCAUGUAUUUCCGAGCUUCCACGGCCCAGAUGUUCGUAGAGGAUUCCUCAGUCAUUUACACGAUCUCUUUGCAAGGAAAGAGAUCACGAUUUUCAAGGAUCAGGAGAUCGAGAGAGGCCAUACGAUCGGAUCUGAACUCGUGAAAGCCAUUAGAGAAGCGAGACUGUCCAUCGUUUUGCUCUCCAAGAACUACGCUUCUUCGAGCUGGUGUUUGGACGAACUGGUGGAAAUCUUGAAGUGCAGAGAAGCUCAGGGGCAGAUUGUGAUGCCCAUUUUCUACGAUGUUGAUCCGUCCAGUGUACGCAAACAGAGCGGAGACUUCGGGAUCGCUUUUGAGAAAACCUGUGAAGGUGAAACAGAGGAAGUGAAACAGAGAUGGGUCGAAGCUUUGACAUGUGUAGCAACCAUAGCUGGAGAACACUCUCGUAACUGGUUUGUUUUUGAGCUCAAUGAACCUGCAGAAAUCCUUUUUUAAUUAUCUUUCGUUUAAGAUUUUGUUUUUUUUUUUCAGGACUGAUGAAGCUGCUAUGGUGGAAAAGCUUUCCACAGACGUCUCGAACAAACUGAGAUUGGAAGAGAUUAAGAAAGAGUUUAGGGAAUGCGAUGUGGACCAGAAUGGUUUCAUAACUGCAGCAGAGCUUCGAUAUGUGUUGACAAAAGAUGGGGGUGAAUUUACUGAUGAGCAAGUUCGUGAUAUCAUUCGAGUAGCUGAUGUUGAUGGCGAUGGUCAGAUCAACUAUGAUGAAUUUGCCAAAUUCAGGACUCUUGUGUGAGGGUUUCUUAAAAGCCAAGAAAACAAAAAGUGUCUUACAGUGAAAUCUUAUUGCAAUCUAAUAAAAAUAAGUUUUUUUUUUUUUCGUUUGUUAGGAUGGCUGAUGAAGAUGCUGCGAGCGAAAAGCUUUCUACAGAUAUCUUGAACAAACUGAGAGUGGAAGAUAUGAAGGAAGAAUUUAGGAAAUACGAUGUAGACAAGAAUGGUUUCAUAACUGAAGCAGAGCUUCGAUAUGUGAUGACAAAAGAUGGGGGGAAAGUAACCGAUGAAGAAGUUGAUGAGAUAAUCCGAAAAGCUGACGUUGAUGGCGAUGGUCAGAUCAACUAUGAUGAAUUUGCCAAAUUUACCAUAGCUAAGUGAGGCAUUCUUAAUUAAAUCUUUUUUUUAAAAAAAAAAAAACCUUAAUUAACCUGAAGGAAAAAAGAAGAAGGAAAAAGUGUGUCUUACAUUGAAUUUUCAUCAUGAUUUAAUUAGAACGCUUUUGUGUCUUUUUAAUUUUUGUAGGGAGGCUGAUGAAGAAGCUGCGAUGGUUCGAAAGUUUGCCACAGAUGUUACACUGUCGAGGGAGGAAGAGAAAGAAAUUAAGGAAUUAUUUACGGGUUUAGAUGUAGACCAGAAUGGUUUCAUAACUGCAGCAGAGUUUCAAUAUGUGAUGAAAAAUAGUGGGAGCAAACUAACCGAUAAGGAAAUUCGUAAUUUCUUCCGAAGAGCUGAUGUUGAUGGCGAUGGUCAUCUCAACUACGAUGAAUUCGUCAAAGUCAUGACGGCUGAGUGAGACAUUCUUAACCCUUUAUAGAUAAAGCCUUUGUUUAUAAUGUAAAACGGCUUUGUCUUUUUUUUUAAAAAUCGAUGAUUCAGUCGUGGAGUUUCUAUAAUCUUAUAAGAUUCUGUUUUUUUUUUUUCUUUUUUGUUAGAAGGAGGAGGGCUGAUGAGGAAGCUGCGAGGGUCGAAAAGACUGCAACAGAUGUCUUGAACAAAGUGAAUAAAUUCGUCAAAUUCAUGGUGAAAGCUUUAUCUUGAAGAAAAAAGAAUAACGAUUUACGAAUGUCUAAGUAAAUUUUCAUCAUGACUUGAACCUGGCUGUCUUCUUUAGGACAUGUUUUUACUUCUUUAAUUUCCACCUUCUAUUUGGUUGCUUUGUUAAGCUCUUCAAUUAAUGUUAUGUCAAGUAUGAACUCAUGUUUUGCCCAUCUUGUGACACUUGAUUUUCUCUCUUUGUUUUAUUUGUUUCUAUAUUUCUCUUGUUUUUUUUCUUCAAUAUAAUGUACUACAAAUUGGCCGCCAAGACGUCUAGGGUAGUUGAAAAAUACUCAAACGACACAAGUUUAACCGGUAAAAAUUUGGUCAAAGAAAAAGGUCAACGUUCGAUUAGUCUCUCACAAAUCACAAGAAGAAAGAUUCCUGAUCUUUAUCGCAAGAGGAAGCAAGAGACUGUAUUUUAAAACGAGAUCUCGUUUUAAAACUAAACUAAAUUCUAAUUCCGUGCGUUUGCACAAGAAAUUUUCUUUGUUUAACGAAUUUCGUAAUAUAAUUUACGUUUUUUGAGUUUAGAUAUAAUUAUUUUUAUAGAUAAAUUCUUUUAAUAAAUAAAAAUAUUUAUUUUUUAAUUUAGAUAUAAUUUGCUUUUUGUAAAUUUUUUUAUAAUAUCAAAGAUAAUUGUGAUUAUUAAAAAUAUAAUUUUACCAUGUCCAUUCAUAUUAAUCUCAAAAAACUAUGAUUAUAAAAUUAUAAUUUUAACUUGUCCGUUCAUAUUACUUUAUAUUAUAAAUAUUUAUUAAAAUUUGUAUUUUAUUUUAUAAAUAGUAUUUCAACAGUAUUUUAUUUAUCAUGAAAUAUUUUAUAAAUAGUUUUCUAAAUUUAAUCUAUAAUAAAUGUAUGUAAUAAUUUUUAAUUUAUUUUUUAUGUUUUUCAUUUUGUAUAAAAAUAUAUUUUGGUUUAUAUUUAUGAUUUAAAAUUAGUGAUUUUAGCUACCAAAAUAUUUUUAACUCGGUUUUUAUAUAUAUUUUUAGUUCUAUGAAUUAUAAAUAUGAUUUAUAUUGGAUUGUUUUGGGAAGCAAUGAUGGUUCUUGCAAAAUCUGGGAUGCCAAAGAAAGAACUUGCUUCAAGACUCCGAUUGAUAAUAAAUCUCAUGAUGUUUCCUUCGCCAAAUUCUCUCCUAAUGGGAAAUUCAUCCUUGUUGCCACUCUUGAUAGUACCCUCGUAAGUUGAAAAAUUCAGUUCCAAAUUUUGUAAUGUUAAAUUUGGUUUGAAUGAUCGCUUAGGCUAUGAACACACGAAAAGUAAAGAAUCUAACUCCUUGUUGGAUUAAUCUGUGAUAAAUUCUGAAUAUGAAUUGAAGAAUGUAGAGUUUUGGUUUGAAAGAUCACUUAGGUUCUGAAAUUUUACAUGAUUUAGAUUCAAACUGUUAUGGUUUUGUCUUUGAUGGGUUCUUGCAUUAGUCUUCUAUGUUUGAUCUUGAUCAUGAUUUAGAAGUUGUGGUCGACAGUAGCAGGAAACAAACAAAAAUUAACCAUAGAACUUAUGAUAUGCAGCUCUUCUCAUGAACUUUUGAUUGACAGUAGCUCUUCUUGUAGAUAUUUCAUUCUCUAAGAAAAGAAAAAAAAGGUGGCACGAAUGAUUAAAUCUUGAUCUAGAGAGAUUGUGCCAAGAAACCAGCUGAGGCGUUAUUUUUGAUGGAAUGACCUUUAUAUGGUUAAAAUUUUAGGAAAUCUUUAUAAACAUUUAUGAAGAUUUCCCUAAAAGUUCAGAAAGACAUCCUAACUCUUUUAAAAAUGUCAGAUAUAUUUUAUUAAACAUUAGUAAAGCUUGUAAACCUACAUUGAGUGGAAUUUCCUAAUCAUUUAGCAACCAUUCACAAACCCGUGUAUCUUCUAUGGUCUAUGCAUCACUUCUCUUGAAACUAUUUGUGUUUUUUUUUUUUCUUUUUUGGGGUCAUCAGGUUUUAUAGCUGAGAGCCUCUCGGAAGAAGAGAUUGCUGGUUUAAGAUAAUUGUUUCAGGCAAUGGAUAUUGAUAACAGCGGCGCUAUUAAGUUUGAUGAACUCAAAACUAGGCUGAGGAAAUAUGGAUCAACCUUGAAAGACACAGAGAUCCAUUAUCUCAUGGAAGCGGUAAAAUCUAAUCUCAUUUGGCUACAAAAUGAAAGUUAAUUAUUGUGUGCUUUCAGUGACGAGCUCUUGUAUUGGCCAGGCUGAUGUGGAAAACAGUAGGACAAUUGAUUACAGUGAGUUCAUUGCAGCUACUAGCCAUAUAAACUAACUGGAGCAGGAAGAACAUCUUGUCGCUAGGUUUUAAUACUUUGACAGACGGAAGCGCUUCCUAAAACAUUAGGAAAAACUUUGUAAACCUUUUUAAUAUUAAUGGUUUCUCUAAACUCUUAAGAAAUAUUCAUAUAUAAUUCAUAAAUUUUUGAAAAAAACUUUCAUAAAUCCUUUUAGUUAGACUUUUUAUCAUUUAGGAAAGCGUUCCGAAAAGUUUAAAAUGGCUUCCUAAAUCAUUAGAAAUGCUCUGCAAACCUAUUAGUGUUUCUAGAGGGUUUGAAACUCUUAGGAAACAUAUAUAAACCCUUCAUAAAAUUCGUAAUAAGAAUUUCUUAACAUUUAGAAAAGCAUUCCUAAAAAUUUAUAAAAGCUUUCUAAAACGUUGAAAAGCUUCUUAGAGCACUAGAAAUGCUUUGUAAAUCUUUUGAAAUUUCGAGGGUUUAAAAACAUCUUAAGAAAACUCCUUGAGAAACCCUUGAAAAAAACAUUCUUCAAAAUUUAGGUGGUCAUUUUCUUGUUUCUUGAUUAUGAAAUAAGACAUUGCUAAAUUUGUAUGAACCUUUUCCAAUAUUUAUAGAUGCUUCCUAAAUUUAGAGUUUCCGAAAGCCUUCUUACUUUUUAGGAAUCAUUUUUACAAAUUUAAGAAUGUCCUCCUAAAUCGUAUAUUAACCAAUUCAUAUUAAGUUCACAUAUUAGGAUCAGAAGACAUUCUUCUGAUUAGCUAAACAAAUAUUGUUUGAAGCUUGGGGAAUACGGGCUUCGGGCCCAGAACCUCUCGGUAAUCUAAAAAAAAAAUGUAGAUAUAUUGUUUGAAUAAACACAAAAGAGAAUCAUGCGAUGAAGAGGAUGGGACUACGAGCAGUCGAGCAAGAUUCAAUUUGCAUUCAGCUGCGAGGAAAAUAACAUGAUACUUGAGUUGCGGAGUACAGACUUUUGAGUAGUGGAAGCAGCAAGUAUUAUGUCAUUUUCAAACGAAUUAAAAGUCGGUUUAGUUAUCAAACCAAAUUUACAAUUGGAAGGGGGUUUAGAAUCAUAAUUUGAAUCUUUUCACGGUGGUGGUGGUGGGGGGGGGGGGGGGGGGGUUUAGAACCCUCAUUUUGAAUCUACCUAGUUAGUCUUCUUCUAAUUUAUCUCCUGUCGGAUUCUGAUAUUUUUAUCUCUGAGCUCAAUUUACAAAUUCAUAUUCCGGUUUACAAAAUAAAAACAAGCCAGUGGUCAAAUGUCUUUGGUCUUUAAGCAUUUUGCUUUCAGAUGUAUAAAGAAGGGAUUUGUUUCUUCCUCCAGGCUCCAUAGAUAUCUUAUCCAAAGCCACUGUGAUAGAUACUUUCUUCAACCUCUCUGUUUACUCUCUCUCUCUCUCUCUCUCUCAGUCUCUAGUCAAAGCCAGUGGUCCUCUCCUCGGCGGCUAUAAAAACAAAAGAAAACAAACUUUUGAAACAAGCCAGUAGUUUCCAGUACAGUUCUCAUACGAAAAUUCCUUUGAAUUUUCCUCUCCUCUUUACCCGUUUGGCUUAUAUAGAUGAACUAAGAAAGCUUGUUUCCUCAAACCACUGCUAUACUUUCUUCAAACUCUCUUUUGCUCUAUCUCUCUCAUGGCUUCUUCUUCUCCUGCUUCUCCUUGUGCUUAUAUUAAGAGAUACGAUGUCUUUCCAAGCUUCAACGGGCCAGAUGUUCGUAAAGGACUCCUCAGUCAUUUACACGAUCACUUUUUAAGGAAGGAAAUCAAAAUGUACAAGGAUGAUAAGAUGGAGAGAUGCAAUACGAUCAAACAUGAACUCGUGAAAGCGAUUAGAGAAUCGAGGGUCUUGAUGGUUUUGCUCUCGAAGAACUACGCUUCUUCCAUCUGGUGUUUGGACGAACUGGUGGAAAUCUUGAAGUGCAGAAAAGAUAAGGAACAGAUUGUGAUGCCUAUUUUCUACGAC
rnacentral:lncRNA from 1 species